rnacentral:rRNA from 1 species
UACGAAGGGGGCUAGCGUUGUUCGGAAUUACUGGGCGUAAAGCGCGCGCAGGCGGUCUUCCAAGUCAGUGGUGAAAGCCCGGAGCUCAACUCCGGAACUGCCAUUGAAACUGUGAGACUUGAGUAUGAGAGAGGUGAGUGGAAUUCCCAGUGUAGAGGUGAAAUUCGUAGAUAUUGGGAAGAACACCGGUGGCGAAGGCGGCUCACUGGCUCAUUACUGACGCUCAGGCGCGACAGCGUGGGGAGUCAAACAGGA